rnacentral:rRNA from 1 species
CGCCGUCGGGAUGCAGUGUACCCGCGGCAAGACGGAAAGACCCCGUGAACCUUUACUAUAGCUUGACACUGAACAUUGAGCCUUGAUGUGUAGGAUAGGUGGGAGGCUUUGAAGCGUGGACGCCAGUCUGCGUGGA